rnacentral:rRNA from 1 species
UUCUUUUAGAUAUUAUUAAAAGUAUUUUCUGCUCAAUGAGAAUUUAAAUAGCCGCAGUUUUCUGUGCUAAGGUAGCAUAAUCAAUUGUUUAUUAAUUGUAAACUAGAAUGAAGGAAAAAAUAAUUAAAGACUUUAUUAUUAUUAUAUAUUUAAAUUUAAUUUCAAUUUAAAAUGAUUGAAAUUUAAAUAGGGACAAGAAGACCCUAUAAAGCUUUAUAAAAAUAAAUCUUUAUUAAAAAUUUAUUUUUAUUUAAUUGGGGCAAUUCUCUAUUUUUUUAUAAUAUAGAGAUUAAUUUAUAGAAAAAUUGAAUUUUUUGAUCCAUAAAUUAUGAAAAUUGAAUUAGUUACUUUAGGGAUAACAGGAUAAUUUUAUUUUAAGAGUACUUAUUAAAAAAUUAGAUUAUUACCUCGAUGUUGAAUUAAUAAAAUUUUAUGGUGAAGAAGCUAUAGGUAAUUUAACUGUUCGUUAAUUAAUUAAUUACA